ACUAAAUUAGUAUAAUCAGUAUUUUAACACUAGAAAAUUACGAUUUUUAUAAAAAUUCAACUUAACAAUAUUUUUUAUCUACAUAACAAAAGUCUUUCUAUAAAAUGUAAUAAAACAUUGUGCCAGCCAUUGCGGUUAAACAUUAACACUAAUUAAAACCUUUUCAAUUAUUUACCUUUUACAAAUACACUAAUUAAUAGUAAAAUAUAAUUCCUUACAAACAAACAAUAAUACAAAACUUUAUACAAACUAGGAUUAGAUACCCUACUAUUUUAAGAAAAAUUAAGGUAGUAACAUUUUAAGAAAAACCUAUAUAUUUUGGCGGCAAAAUUUUCUUAAAGGAACUUGUUUUUUAAUCGAUAAUACCCGUUAAUUUUCACCUUACUAUUAAAAGCUUAUAUACCGCCGUUUAAAACCACUUUAAAUACUCUCAUUAAAAUUUACUUUAAAAAUUCAGGUCAAGGUGUAGCCUACACUAAGAGAUAAAAUUAGUUACUUAUAAAAAAAUUUAUAGAAAAUAUAUAAAUAACAAUAAAAAAGGAUUUAAAUUCAAUUCAUUAAUAAUAAUAAUAAGUGAAAUUACCCCAUCGUGCACAUAUCGCCCGUCACCCUCUACAACACAGAGGUAAGUCGUAACACAGUUGGGGUUCUGGAAAGAGCCCCAUGAUC
rnacentral:rRNA from 1 species